ensembl:misc_RNA Metazoa_SRP Metazoan signal recognition particle RNA
GCCGGGCGCGGUGGCGCGCGCCUGUAGUCCCAGCUACUCGGGAGGCUGAGGCCGGAGGAUCGCUUGAGUCCAGGAGUUCUGGGCUGUCGUGCGCUAUGCCGAUCGGGUGUCCGCACUAAGUUCGGCAUCAAUAUGGUGACCUCCCGGGAGCGGGGGACCACCAGGUUGCCUAAGGAGGGGUGAACCGGCCCAGGUCGGAAACGGAGCAGGUCAAAACUCCUGUGCUGAUCAGAUAACUGUUUCAGAUGCUGAUUUCAUUUUCCUUGGGUAAAUUCCCAGGAGUGGGAUGGCUGGGUCAUAUGGUAAGUUUAUAUUCAGAUUUCU